rnacentral:rRNA from 1 species
ACGCUAGCUACAGGCUUAACACAUGCAAGUCGAGGGGAAACGGCAUUAAGUGCUUGCACUUUUUGGACGUCGACCGGCGCACGGGUGAGUAACGCGUAUCCAACCUUCCCAUGACUAAGGGAUAACCUGCCGAAAGGCAGACUAAUACCUUAUGGCCUUCACCGACGGCAUCAGAUGUGAAGUAAAGAUUUAUCGGUCAUGGAUGGGGAUGCGUCUGAUUAGCUUGUUGGCGGGGUAACGGCCCACCAAGGCGACGAUCAGUAGGGGUUCUGAGAGGAAGGUCCCCCACAUUGGAACUGAGACACGGUCCAAACUCCUACGGGAGGCAGCAGUGAGGAAUAUUGGUCAAUGGGCGAGAGCCUGAACCAGCCAAGUAGCGUGCAGGAUGACGGCCCUAUGGGCUGUAAACUGCUUUUGUAUGGGGAUAAAGUCAAUCACGUGUGAUUGUUUGCAGGUACCAUACGAAUAAGGACCGGCUAAUUCCGUGCCAGCAGCCGCGGUAAUACGGAAGGUCCGGGCGUUAUCCGGAUUUAUUGGGUUUAAAGGGAGCGUAGGCUGGAGAUUGAGUGUGUUGUGAAAUGUAGACGCUCAACGUCUGACUUGCAGCGCAUACUGGUUUCCUUGAGUACGCACAACGUUGGCGGAAUUCGUCGUGUAGCGGUGAAAUGCUUAGAUAUGACGAAGAACUCCGAUUGCGAAGGCAGCUGACGGGAGCGCAACUGACGCUGAAGCUCGAAGGUGCGGGUAUCGAACAGGAUUAGAUACCCUGGUAGUCCGCACAGUAAACGAUGGAUGCCCGCUGUUGGUACCUGGUAUCAGCGGCUAAGCAAAAGCAUUAAGCAUCCCACCUGGGGAGUACGCCGGCAACGGUGAAACUCAAAGGAAUUGACGGGGGCCCGCACAAGCGGAGGAACAUGUGGUUUAA